CCUACGGGCGGCAGCAGUGGGGAAUAUUGGGCAAUGGGCGCAAGCCUGACCCAGCAACGCCGCGUGUGGGAAGACGGUCCUCUGGAUUGUAAAGCUCUAUCAGCAGGGAAGAAAAUGACGGUACCUGAGUAAGAAGCCCCGGCUAACUACGUGCCAGCAGCCGCGGUAAUACGUAGGGGGCAAGCGUUAUCCGGAUUUACUGGGUGGAAAGGGAGCGUAGACGGCAGUGCAAGUCUGGAGUGAAAGGCGGGGGCUCAACCCCCGGACUGCUAUGGAAACUGUACGGCUGGAGUGCAGGUGAGGUAAGUGGAAUUCGUAGUGUAGCGGUGAAAUGCGUAGAUAUUAGGAGGAACACCAGUUGCGAAGGCGGCUUACUGGACUGUAACUGACGUUGAGGCUCGAAAGCGUGGGGAGCAAACAGGAUUAGAUACCCGAGUAGUC
rnacentral:rRNA from 1 species